CUUUAAAUUCACCACUUGAGA
rnacentral:piRNA from 1 species